ACUGACAGGCGCGUACACCUCUAACUGACAACUGACAGGCGUUCUGACAGGUGCGUUCCUCUGACUGACAACUGACAGGCGUACUGAAAGGCGCGUUCCUCUGACUGACGACUGACAGGCGUACUGAAAGGCGCGUACCUCUGACUGACGACUGACAGGCGCGUACACCUCUAACUGACAACUGACAGGCGUUCUGACAGGUGCGUUCCUCUGACUGACAACUGACAGGCGUACUGAAAGGCGCAUUCCUCUGACUGACAACUGACUGACGCCUGAAAGGCGCAUUCCUCUGACUGACAACUGACUGACGCCUGAAAGGCGCGUUCCUCUGACUGACGCCUGACAGGCGCGUUCCUCUGACUGACGCCUGACAGGCGUACUGACAGGCGCGUUCCUCUGACUGACGCCUGACAGGCGUACUGACAGGCGCGUUCCUCUGACUGACGACUGACAGGCGUACUGACAGGCGCGUUCCUCUGACUGACGACUGACAGGCGUACUGAAAGGCGCGUACCUCUGACUGACGACUGACAGGCGCGUACACCUCUAACUGACAACUGACAGGCGUUCUGACAGGUGCGUUCCUCUUACUGACGCCUGACAGGCGUUCUGACAGGUGCGUUCCUCUUACUGACGCCUGACAGGCGUACUGACAGGCGCGUACCCCUGACUGACGCCUAACAGGCGUACUGACAGGCGCGUACACCUCUGACUGACAGGCGUUCAGACAGGCAUUCAGACAGGCGCGUACACCUCUGACUGACAGGCGUUCAGACAGGCAUUCAGACAGGCGCGUACACCUCUGACUGACGCCUGACAGGCGCGUACACCUCUGACUGACGCCUGACAGGCGCGUACACCUCUGACUGACAGGCGUUCAGACAGGCAUUCAGACAGGCGCGUACCUCUGACUGACAGGCGUACUGACAGGCGCGUACCUCUGACUGACAGGCGUACUGACAGGCGCGUACCUCUGACUGACAGGCGUACUGACAGGCGCGUACCUCUGACUGACAGGCGUACUGACAGGCGCGUACCUCUGACUGACAGGCGUACUGACAGGCGCGUACCUCUGACUGACAGGCGUACUGACAGGCGCGUACCUCUGACUGACAGGCGUACUGACAGGCGCGUACCUCUGACUGACAGGCGUACUGACAGGCGCGUACCUCUGACUGACGACUGACAGGCGUACUGACAGGCGCGUACCUCUGACUGACGACUGACAGGCGUACUGACGGGCGCGUACCUCUGACUGAGGCAAUGAACUCCUCCAGUCGUCCCAGCAGGUGAGCGUCUCUCUCGAAGUCGUAGAAGUGAUGCUCCACCCAGUGACGACACACAUUCAGCACUCUGCAGGAGGGGGAGGAGUUAUCACAGGUCACAUGGAUCAACGACAUCAUCAGUCUAACUUGAUGUUGAGUUUAAAAAAUCGUCGCUAGGAACUGAAACCUGGAUUUUCUCUCUAACUGGAACCAGACGAGCGAAUUCUUUCCAGGAAACUGAAGACUGAUUAAAAACACUGUGUCAAAGCUCAAACAACUUGAAAGUCGAAACCAGGAAACACAGAAACUGCCAGUUUAACUCCAAGACUCGUCCUGACGAGUCCUAAACGUCUCAGAGUAGUCAAAGACGUGUUAGGUCCUGGUCUGAGAGAUGUUUAGGACUCGUCAGGUCCUGGUCUGAGAGACGUUUAGGACUCGUCAGGUCCUGGUCUGAGAGACGUUUAGGACUCGUCAGGUCCUGGUCUGAGAGAAGUCAAAGACGUAUUAGGUCCUGGUCUGAAAGACGUUUAGGACUCGUCAGGUCCUGGUUUGAGAGAAGUCAAAGACGUAUUAGGUCCUGGCCUGAGGCACGUUUAGGACUCGUCAGGUCCUGGCCUGAGGCACGUUUAGGACUCGUCAGGUCCUGGCCUGAGGGACGUUUAGGACUCGUCAGGUCCUGGCCUGAGGGACGUUUAGGACUCGUCAGGUCCUGGCCUGAGGGACGUUUAGAACUCGUCAGAUCCUGGUCUGAAAGACGUUUAGGACUCGUCAGGUCCUGGUCUGAGAGACGUUUGAGACUCGUCAGGUCCUGGUGUAAGAGAAGUCAAAGACUCGUCAGGUCCUGGUCUGAGAGACGUUUAGGACUCGUCAGGUCCUGGUCUGAGAGACGUUUAGGACUCGUCAGAUCCUGGUGUAAGAGAAGUCAAAGACUUGUCAGGUCCUGGUCUGAGAGACGUCAAGUCCUGGUCUGAAAGAUGUUUAGGACUUGUCAGGUCCUGGUCUGAAAGACGUUUAGGACUCGUCAGGUCCUGGUCUGAAAGACGUCAAGUCCUGGUCUGAAAGACGUUUAAGACUCAUCAGGUCCUGGUCUGAGAGACGUUUAAGACUAGUCAGGUCCUGGUUUAAGAGAACUCAAAGACGUGUUAGGUCCUGGUCUAAGAGAAGUCAAAGAUGUGUUAGGUCCUGGUCUAAGAGACGUUUAAGACUCGUCAGGUGCUGGUCUGAGAGACGUCAGGUCCUGGUCUGAGAGACGUUUAAGACUCGUCAGGACCUGGUCUGAGAGACGUUUAAGACUAGUCAGGUCCUGGUUUAAGAGAAGUCAAAGACGUGUUAGGUCCUGGUCUAAGAGACGUUUAAGACUCGUCAGGUGCUGGUCUUAGAGACGUCAGGUCCUGGUCUGAGAGACGUUUAGGACUCGUCAGGUCCUGGUCUGAGAGAAGUCAAGUCCUGGUCUGAGAGACGUUUAAGACUAGUCAGGUCCUGGUCUGAGAGACGUUUAAGACUAGUCAGGUCCUGGUUUAAGAGAAGUCAAAGACGUGUUAGGUCCUGGUCUGAGAGACGUCAAGUCCUGGUCUGAGAGAAGUCAAGGACUCGUCAGGUCCUGGUCUAAGAGAAGUCAAAGACGUGUUAGGUCCUGGUCUGAGAGACGUUUAAGACUCAUCAGGUCCUGGUCUGAGAGAAGUCAAGUCCUGGUCUUAUAGACGUUUAAGACACGUCAGGUCCUGGUCUAAGAGACGUUUAACACUCAUCAGGUCCUGGUCUGAGAGAAGUCAAGUCCUGGUCUGAGAGAAGUCAAGGACUCCUGUCAGGUCCUGGUCUGAGAGAAGUCAAGGACUCCUGUCAGGUCCUGGUCUGAGAGAAGUCAAGGACUCCUGUCAGGUCCUGGUCUGAGAGAAGUCAAGGACUCCUGUCAGGUCCUGGUAAUUAGGACUCUUCAGGUUUAGAAAAUAUUUCUAAUGAAGUCUGUUGAUGACAUUUUGUCUGACAGGUCACCUCUCAGCCAAUCACAGGGGUGUAACGGUUCAGAAACAGAGACCAAAUCCGCAAUCUAACGUCCAUGUUCUAGAGUCGCUGUUCCGUCUUUCUGCUGUACCCAAAACAUACCGACAGUGAAUUCUGUGUACCGUUACACCCCUAGUUGACGUAGUGAGUAGGGCCAUUCAUGGCCCGUGAUGUCACCGUGAUGUCAGAGGAAACCGAGUGGGACAUCAGGUCCUGGGUCAGUCAGUUAGCAGUCUCUACCUGAGCUGUACCGGCUGAACAAACUCUUUCCGGAAGCGUUUGAGUUCAGCGCUGAGCGGCUGCUCUCCUCCCUCCAUCUGAUCCGCCUCGCUGGGCCUCGGCUCCGGGAUCUCGAACCUGAACACAACAACAUGGCAGACCUGGGAUCAGUGCUUGGCUCACAGCUUCAGCAGAGACAGAGAAGAGAUAAAGGGAUGUCAGACUGGUCCUGCCCAGGAGGAGCUGGGACAGGAAAACUACUCUUCUACAGGAUUUAUGAACCGGAAGACUCACAGCAGACAGGAACAGAGCAGCGUCUCCUUGUGGGCACCACAUCUUCAUGUUUCAUGCUUGUUAAACCCUCUUAUCAUGAAUCCUCCAUGCUUUGUCCGCGUCAUUUAAAACCUUACAGUUGGUCUACAAAGCACUUCCUGGACUGGCUCCUCCUUACCUGUCUGGCCUUUCUCUUUGUUUAUCAGCUGAUUCUGGGAAAACUGUGUGACCUCCAUGAUAACAGUUACACAGCCUAUCAGUGAAUUAUUAUGUGAAGAAAUAAAAUCAAAGUAUUAAAAAAUUGGAUUUCUGGUCUAAAUCCUCUAAAACUGUAUUGAAGCGGUCUGAUUGGUCCUUGUGUUGUCCGACAGGUGAGCUCACCUCUCCAUGAGCAGGUCCAGCAGCUCCUGAGGUUUACAGAAAGACCUAUAGGUGGUCAGAAAUGUUCGGACAAAGUUUGGAUCUGGAGGAAACAGAAAUAGGAAGCAGACUGACGGUCAAUAAUCACUGUGAUCAGACAAAAGAGGACAACAAAAACACGAAGGAUUUAUUUCCGAUGAGGAUUAUCACUGAUUUCAUAUGAGCCAGAUUAAAAUGUCCUUCUGAAAGACAGAAGGAGCAUAUCAAGUCUAACCUGGUCCUCUUAAUAAACACCUGAGUGACAUCACGCCUCACCUGGUCCCGUUAAUAAACACCCGAGUGACAUCACGCCUCACCUGGUCCUCUUAAUAAACACCUGAAUGACA